CACGUAGGGGGCGAGCGUUGUCCGGAAUUAUUGGGCGUAAAGAGCUCGUAGGCGGUGUGUCACGUCGGCCGUGAAAGCCUGCAGCUUAACUGUGGGCGUGCGGUCGAUACGGGCAUCACUGGAGUUCGGCAGGGGAGACUGGAAUUCCUGGUGUAGCGGUGAAAUGCGCAGAUAUCAGGAGGAACACCGGUGGCGAAGGCGGGUCUCUGGGCCGAUACUGACGCUGAGGAGCGAAAGCGUGGGGAGCAAACAGG
rnacentral:rRNA from 1 species